rnacentral:rRNA from 1 species
UGGGGAAUUUUGGACAAUGGGCGAAAGCCUGAUCCAGCAAUGCCGCGUGUGUGAAGAAGGCCUUCGGGUUGUAAAGCACUUUUGUCCGGAAAGAAAUCCUUGGCUCUAAUACAGUCGGGGGAUGACGGUACCGGAAGAAUAAGCACCGGCUAACUACGUGCCAGCAGCCGCGGUAAUACGUAGGGUGCAAGCGUUAAUCGGAAUUACUGGGCGUAAAGCGUGCGCAGGCGGUUUGCUAAGACCGAUGUGAAAUCCCCGGGCUCAACCUGGGAACUGCAUUGGUGACUGGCAGGCUAGAGUAUGGCAGAGGGGGGUAGAAUUCCACGUGUAGCAGUGAAAUGCGUAGAGAUGUGGAGGAAUACCGAUGGCGAAGGCAGCCCCCUGGGCCAAUACUGACGCUCAUGCACGAAAGCGUGGGGAGCAAACAGGAUUAGAUACCCUGGUAGUCCACGCCCUAAACGAUGUCAACUAGUUGUUGGGGAUUCAUUCCUUAGUAACGUAGCUAACGCGCGAAGUUGACCGCCUGGGGAGUACGGUCGCAAGAUUAAAACUUAAAGGAAUUGACGGGGUCAUAGCUGUUUCCU